GCAGCCGCGGUAAUACGGGGGAUGCGAGCGUUAUCCGGAUUCAUUGGGUUUAAAGGGUGCGUAGGCGGCCGAGUAAGUCAGCGGUGAAAGACCGGGGCUCAACCCUGGAAGUGCCGUUGAUACUGUUUGGCUGGAAUGAUCCCGCCGCGGGAGGAAUGAGUGGUGUAGCGGUGAAAUGCAUAGAUAUCACUCAGAACACCGAUUGCGAAGGCAUCUCGCGAGGGGUCAAUUGACGCUGAGGCACGAAAGCGUGGGGAUCGAACAGGAUUAGAUACCCC
rnacentral:rRNA from 1 species